rnacentral:lncRNA from 1 species
UUAGAAAUGUCCCCUUUCCUACCCACACUUUUUAAAGACACAAUUGCAUUAGUGACUGCCUUUGGGAAUUUUAAAAUCCAUUCUGUGAACAAGGAGAAAUGCAGACAUGUUGGCAACACUGAUCAUUUUUGUUGUGGAUCUCAUGCUUGCUUCGGUUGUUGUGAUUAUUCUAUAUGCUGUUUGCUUAAUAGUAGCCACAGGUAUUUUUAUCUCAGUCAUUUUCUAUAUUUACACCGGAGAGAUGGAAAAACAUUGUGACUUCAACAAGGUUAGAAUUCUAGCAAUGCCGGACUCUAGCAGUGCUCCUGGGAAGAUGCUUGCUGGUCGCAUGGAGAAUGUCAGCUACGGGAUGUUUCCGGUCCAUUUUCCAGCUGUGCAAGAAGGGACCUUUCUGUCUAAGGAGAGUGAUGCUGGCUUCUACAGCACAAGGAACUCAGUACAGUGGAAGAGCCAGAGGAAGGCUUGGCAGAUCCCACCCACAACCAACCAACCAUUCUUUUUUCAGCAGGCAAGCCAGGCCCAAGGAAGAAGAAACAGCGAGGCCAUUUGUUGAGGUCAUCAAGCGAAAUCAAUCUGCAUCUCACCCUGUCCUGAAACAUCAACUCUCUCCUGGACCUUUCAAAUCACCUAACAUCUUUCCAGUGUCGCUGCUCUACAAACCUAAUUGCCACAUGUCAGUCAGAACAGUCCUUACAAAUACUAAGAAAAAUGUUUGUCAGUCCUCCGCUCAGCCCUGUCCAGUGACCUCCUAUCUCAGAGGAGAAGUCAGGGAUUUUCAAGACCUUCAUGUUCAAGAAUAUACAUGA